GUGGGGAAUCUUGCACAAUGGGGGAAACCCUGAUGCAGCGACGCCGCGUGAGUGAUGAAGCCCUUCGGGGUGUAAAACUCUUUCGGCAGGGACGAUUAUGACGGUACCUGCGGAAGAAGCUGCGGCUAACUACGUGCCAGCAGCCGCGGUAAUACGUAGGCAGCAAGCGUUGUUCGGAAUUACUGGGCGUAAAGAGUGCGUAGGCGGUCGGGCAAGUCUGGUGUGAAAUCUCCUGGCUCAACUGGGAGGGUGCGCCGGAAACUGCCGGGCUAGAGUGUGGGAGAGGGAAGUGGAAUUCCUGGUGUAGCGGUGAAAUGCGUAGAUAUCAGGAGGAACACCUGCGGUGUAGACGGCUUCCUGGACCAUGACUGACGCUGAGGCACGAAAGCGUGGGGAGCAAACAGGAUUAGAUACCCCAGUAGUCC
rnacentral:rRNA from 1 species